rnacentral:rRNA from 1 species
CAAGCGGUGGAGCAUGUGGUUUAAUUCGACGCAACGCGAAGAACCUUACCUGGGCUCGAAAUGCUAUGGACCAGCUGGUGAAAGCCGGCCUUCCCGCAAGGGACUGUAGUAUAGGUGCUGCAUGGCUGUCGUCAGCUCGUGUCGUGAGAUGUUGGGUUAAGUCCCGCAACGAGCGCAACCCUUGUCCUGUGUUGCCAUCAUUCAGUUGGGAACUCGCAGGAGACCGCCAGGGAUAACCUGGAGGAAGGUGGGGAUGACGUCAAGUCCUCAUGGCCUUUAUGUCCAGGGCUACACACGUGCUACAAUGGACGGUACAAAGGGCUGCCAACCCGCAAGGGGGAGCCAAUCCCAAAAAACCGUUCUCAGUUCGGAUUGCAGGCUGCAACUCGCCUGCAUGAAGCUGGAAUCGCUAGUAAUGGUGGAUCAGAACGCCACCGUGAAUACGUUCCCGGGCCUUGUACACACC